UUCUUCCUACGGGGGGCAGCAGUGGGGAAUAUUGCACAAUGGGGGAAACCCUGAUGCAGCGACGCCGCGUGAGUGAGGAAGUAUUUCGGUAUGUAAAGCUCUAUCAGCAGGGAAGAAAAUGACGGUACCUGACUAAGAAGCCCCGGCUAACUACGUGCCAGCAGCCGCGGUAAUACGUAGGGGGCAAGCGUUAUCCGGAUUUACUGGGUGUAAAGGGAGCGUAGACGGAGGAGCAAGUCUGAUGUGAAAAUCCGGGGCCCAACCCCGGAACUCCAUUGGAAACUGUUUAUCUAUACCGUCGGAGG
rnacentral:rRNA from 1 species